rnacentral:rRNA from 1 species
AUUGAACGCUGGCGGCAGGCCUAACACAUGCAAGUCGAGCGGAUGAAGGGAGCUUGCUCCUGGAUUCAGCGGCGGACGGGUGAGUAAUGCCUAGGAAUCUGCCUGGUAGUGGGGGAUAACGUCCGGAAACGGGCGCUAAUACCGCAUACGUCCUGAGGGAGAAAGUGGGGGAUCUUCGGACCUCACGCUAUCAGAUGAGCCUAGGUCGGAUUAGCUAGUUGGUGGGGUAAAGGCCUACCAAGGCGACGAUCCGUAACUGGUCUGAGAGGAUGAUCAGUCACACUGGAGCUGAGACACGGUCCAGACUCCUACGGGAGGCAGCAGUGGGGAAUAUUGGACAAUGGGCGAAAGCCUGGUCCAGCCAUGCCGCGUGUGUGAAGAAGGUCUUCGGAUUGUAAAGCACUUUAAGUUGGGAGGAAGGGCAGUAAGUUAAUACCUUGCUGUUUUGACGUUACCAACAGAAUAAGCACCGGCUAACUUCGUG